CUGAUUUUACUUUUGCUUUAAGAUUCUCAAAACUCCCAGCAUUGAGUGAGAACUCAGCUUUGAGUUCAAUCGUCCGUUUUAACACAUCGUCACAGCGAGUCACAGCUCCCCAUAAAUAAUUAAGAGUUAAUACGAUGCCACUUAAACUUGACACCUUUUGAUGUCAGAGCUCUUCACACCCUUUGCAGCAGCGUCAGAGAAAGGAGGGGAAAAAGAGGAACGCAAGGCAGAGAGUGCAGCCGCUUUGUGAUCGGCUGAUUCUCCCCCGUGACACAGCAGCCGGGGAGGAGGCGACUCCGGCUCCAUGGCCUCCCUGUUCACCCAACUCGAGGUGUGGACCAUCAUGUUCUCCAUCCUGGUUUUUGCGCUCUUCACACUUGCUGGGAUGAUCAGCGAGGAAUGUCCGCACACUGAAGAAACUACUGAUAGAUCCCAGAGUCAGGAGAUGUCAGUGUGACUCAUCUGCUAAUGCUCAGCUCGUGAGAAAAACUCAGCCUGUUCCUGGUGUGUGGCCGUGAAUCCUUAUCAGUUUAUAAAAGCGGGCCUGCAGGCCGACCUAUGAACGUGUGUGUGUGCGUGUGUGUGUGUGUGCUUUGUUUGCAGUCCCAGUGUAACCUGCUUCUUCCAGGAUGAGGCACAAAGGAGUGGCCAAAUUGUUCAACUAAAAAAUGCAAUAAAGAGACACCUGCUGAAACAAAGUGGCUCACAACAGCAUCACCUGGCCGCUCGCCCUGCAGGAUGUCCAGAGACAGCACCGGGAGAUUCCUCUGUGAACUUUGAACCUGGAAAACAGACCGUGUGUCUCUCCCAU